GACGAACGCUGGCGGCGUGCUUAACACAUGCAAGUCGAACGGAAAGGCCCUGCUUUUGUGGGGUGCUCGAGUGGCGAACGGGUGAGUAACACGUGAGUAACCUGCCCUUGACUUUGGGAUAACUUCAGGAAACUGGGGCUAAUACCGGAUAGGAGCUCCUGCUGCAUGGUGGGGGUUGAAAAGUUUCGGCGGUUGGGGAUGGACUCGCGGCUUAUCAGCUUGUUGGUGGGGUAGUGGCUUACCAAGGCUUUGACGGGUAGCCGGCCUGAGAGGGUGACCGGCCACAUUGGGACUGAGAUACGGCCCAGACUCCUACGGGAGGCAGCAGUGGGGAAUAUUGCACAAUGGGCGGAAGCCUGAUGCAGCAACGCCGCGUGCGGGAUGACGGCCUUCGGGUUGUAAACCGCUUUCGCCUGUGACGAGGCGUGAGUGACGGUAAUGGGUAAAGAAGCACCGGCUAACUACGUG
rnacentral:rRNA from 1 species